rnacentral:lncRNA from 12 species
AUGGUCUCAGGGAAAACAGGCUGGAGGGAUCCGUGUAUAAAACAACUUUUGUUUGAAUGUGACAUCUGCCUGCAAAGGAGCAAAUCCCCAGCACCACCAGUGCAUCUUGUCAGGCCAAAAUCCAGAGAGGCUCUAAUGGGGUUUUCUUCAAACACUGUGACUCGAGCUCCAGACCAUCCCCUUGCUUGCUCCAGGAAACAUUAUCAACCUAUGGCUCAGGGUUAAGGGUUGGGGUUGGGGUAUCAUUAGUGUUUUCAUCACUAGCUGAAAUGUACAGUCUGACAAUCACCAUGCCCACAGAUCAAAGGCAAGGGGAGGUGCUAUCUGCUGCCAGCUGUACUGUGACUCUGAGCACAUUUCUGGUGAACUGACCCUAAGGUGAGUUGUGGUGGGAAACAGUCUCCAACGGAUGACUGGGUGUGGGCUCAUGUAGGAUAGGGUUCUAAGAGCGAAUUCUCUGUCCUUUUCUUUUGGGUAGCCCCACUGUGCCUCGCUGCAACAGCAUGGCCUAUGUUGGAACUGGUGUUUGAUUCACAUGGGGUGGGGGGGAAGCAUGUCACUGUGUAGGAAAAUUAACCUGGUAGAAGUGAAGUACUUUGGAUUAUCAUCGUAGAUCUGUCACUGGUUUGCUUUCUGACUUGAGAUGAGACCCAAGCUCCAGUCACAUUGACCCCUCAACCAGUCCCUACACAGAGCACGACCCCACCCAAUUCUGCUCUUCACAUGAUGCACUAAUGGGAUAUUUUGCCUUAUUCCUUGCAGGACAAACAGAGUGUUUCUUCCCAAGGUUCAAUCUACAUGUGCCUCCUUUGGGAUUGAUGAGCAUUUUUUUACUCCCUUAAGAGUAAUCUGUCCCUUCCUCUGGGCUCCCAUUGUUGCACAUAUCUGCUGGAGUGUUUACUACCAGGCAUUGUUUAUGUGUCUGUCACUGUAAGAUGUGAGUGCCUCUCAAGGGUGACAUAUUCACUCUGUUCUCCAGAUGCCUAUUACGGCACCUGGCAGGCAGAGUUGAAUAGAUGUUAGAUGAAUGGAUGCAUGCAUAAGAGAACAGGCAGAUGAAAGAGAUGAAGUGUUCUCUGCGUCCUUGGAGGGAAAGCAUUUCCUUUGGAUGCAGACAUGUUUCUGCAGGAGGAAAUGUUUCCUGAUCUGGUUGCUCCCAUUUUUCCAUCAUGUCUACAGUUGCUGGAGGGGGAAAUCUGCUCUCUCAAGUCAUUAGCUUCCCUCC